GAAAAGGUAUGCAGAGCUGGUUCUGUGACUCCCACAGAAGGUUCCUAGCACUGUGGGCAUUCCCCAUGGGUUCAUGCAUCUGCUUUGCAGUCCACUUGCAUGAGAACAGCUGGCCCAAAGGGAUGAGAGAACCCAACUCCACCUUGGCUUUCAUGGAUGCACUUCAUAAUGGGGGUGAUGCUGUAAUGGGAGUUAUACCUGUGUAUGUAAGGGCAAAAUUGGUGCUUCUGAGCCAAGUCUUCACAACUGGCCUCUAAUUUCAUGCCUGAAACUAACUACAGGAACAAACGGCAGAAAAUCUCCUCUGACACUGCUGUCAUUCUUGCCAGAACUGCUUGUGGUUCCCUUUAAAUGAAUUUGCCAGGGCAGAGAGCAGGGAACAGGCAGCAAUGCUUGCUACUGAAGAUCAUCUUCUAUAAGAUUUUCAUUAGGUGCUUAAUUCUUUCCCUGGCAUCCCAAGGAGCUGUAGGGAUGCAGAACAAUAUUGACUUGAGAAGAUUUGCAGCUGGUCAAGGAGAUCUGGAAAGGAGCUGCCUUUUGCAGCCAGAGAUAUUUGCAGUAGAGUGAAGAGGGUGAGCCUUUAUUGUCUGAACUGAGGAAAUGAUGCUGAAACAAAGGAGUUGCUGCACUCGGAAGUGAUUAUAUUCAGAUUUUAAUACCACAGAGAUCUCCACCUCACUGAAGCCCAAAUAGAUUUCAAAAUAUGCAACAAGAGCCCAAAUAAGGAACACAACAAAAAAUAGAGACCAAAGCUUCUGUGAUGACCUGGAUAGCCCUUGACAGUUCUGCCCCUCUGGAACAAUGGAACUAUCAACCUCCAGGGUGAAGUUUGUAUGGGCUGGCGACAGGGCUUUCUCAGGGCCUACCCCACGACUGUGGGAUUCACUACUGCUGGACCAGAGAGCCUGAUUCACCAUUGCCCUGCACUUUUUGUAACUAUUUACACUAGUGCAGAUUUGGCUUAAAACACUAUCAUUCUGCUCUGGUAGCAU